rnacentral:lncRNA from 1 species
GAAAAAGUAAACCAAACUUCAAAUUAAUAUAUGAGCAAAAGGAUAAGCUACAAAAGAAAAGAAAUGCGGAGCGUAAGAAAACAAAAAUUUUGCUAAGAAGGCAUAUAUACAUACAUAACUAUAAAUAUAUAUACCUACAUAUAUAUUCAUAUAUAUAUAUAUGUAUAUGUAUACAUACAUAUACACAGAAAAGUGAAACAGAAGAUUUUGGACACUUAUUUUCAAACACAGCUCCAAGAACAGAACAGAUAAUGAAUGAUACAUAAACAGGCCCAGAUAAAAAAACCGUUCAAGUUGACCAUAGCGCGCCCUAGCCCGACUAAGCAAACUAUUUAACACUUAGAACUUAAAAAUGAUAUAUAUGAUUAACUAUUGAUUAUUAAUACAAUAUAUGGAAAACAAUUAAAUUAGCAUUUUUAUAAAAAGAAAACCAAAUCGAAACAAACAACAAAACGAAAAAAACAACAACUUUUAGCAAAACUAGAGAAAUGAACACUUCAUUUUGAAUCUAGUCAACGUUUUGGCCUUUGUUACACACUCUCUCGUACAGAACACACCCAAAACACAUCCCGAACAUACACGAAUCUAACUUAUAAUUAGCAUACAUAUAAAGUAAAGAAAGGAACAAAAAACAAGAUCUUUAUCCAACAUUUACUCAACUACAAAAAUCUGUUGACUCGAACCAUUACCAAGUUGACUAGAUAAGCAGCAAAACUUGUACAAAAGGAAGGAAAAGAAGAGAAGCGUCAAAUCUACAGCUAAAUAUGCCAAAAAUUAAAGGAUAUUGAUAGGAAAAGUAUGCAGAUUAGGUUGAGAUAAUAAAAUUAACAAUUAUUUAGAGUUUGUAUAGAGAAAACAAAACGUUUAGAGUCGCCUAGUCUGAGGGUCCUGCAGCAGAGUGAUCUGCAUUCGAGACGUAUUUGAUACUUAAUAUAUGAAAUUCAAUUAUUAAAAAAUAUAUACAUACAUAUAUAUAUACACAUACGAGUAUAUUUAAAAAUGUAAGAAACAUGAAUGGGAAAUUGUUAUCAAAGUUGAAGUUAGUUUUGUUACAAGUGCAUAAAAUAUAUAAUUUUGGGCAGAGCUAUAGCUAUUAUCUCAUGAGUUCCCCUCAGCAAAUCAAUAUCAAAAUCAGUUUAGUAAUAGUUUCAGUUUCAAUUUCCACCAUUGCCAGACAGACUACUAGCAUGGGACAGAAUAGUAUUACGAGUAGAUCUCCAGUCUGCUAGCCCAGCCCAGAGUAAAUGGCAAGUAUUACUUAUAUACAUAUAUCAGAGUUCAAUUUGAUUAAUUUUACUCCUCUUUUGAUACAAAAUGUUAAGUCUCAGAAUGAGAUAUCUUGUACAUAUAGAAAAAAGAAGGGAAACGGAUGAAAGUCCCACACAGAUGAAUGAAACGAAUGGAAAACGCAGUUAUUUAACAUAAAACUACAUAAAAGUCUACUAUCUACAUACAGACAUACAAAUACAUAUACAAGUACAUAUACAUAUGUACAUAUAUGCAAAAUUAUCAAAUUGAUUUAGAUUCCUAUCCAAAAGUUGUUGAGCAACACACCAACAACUUUGAAAGCUUCUAAACGAAAUGGAUGCUUAACUAGAAAUUUAUUCAGUCGUCACCCAAAACACAGACACACACACAGGCACACACAUUAUAACCACACUAUAUGUAUUUACGAUCUUGUAUGAAUUAAUCUAGUCAAAUUCAAGUUAAUUAUUGCAUAAUGAAAACUAAAAAGUUAAAGAGUAAUGAGAAGAUCAAGAUCAAGAUCCGAGUCUAACUAUUGAGAUACAAAUAAUGGAUUACUAUUAUCAUUUUCAUUAUUAUGUAUUAUGAUUAUUUUAUCAGAUUAUUAUGAUUUUUCCGUGUAUUAAAAAUACGUACAUGUAUUAGAAUGAAUAGGCUGUAAAGCGAUUCAUUAUCAUUACAAUUAUUAUUAUUAUUCCAUGCUAUUAUACAUACAAACGUUUUAGAUCAUGUAUACAUCCGCUCAAUAUACUUACAAUUAAAGCGGAUUCAAACUUACUGCAAAAACUGAUUUUGGCAAAAUUGUGCGAAUUAUAUAUACCGAGAGAUACAAAAACCUUAAACUAUCCUACAUAUUAUUUCUAAAGAGUAACACACAAUAAAAUAAACUAACACUAAAAUAGAAGAGCAAAAAAAAUAAAAGAGAAAAGCAAAUUGAAAUCAUAAAAAAUACAAUGCAUCCAACCUUGUUUUAUUUUCUCAUUAUUUUCCGAGCUCUCAAUACUCGCGGCUUGCGAUUACUUAAAUUGGCGGAUACCAGGACUGGACCAGACACAACUCCCAAUACUUGACAAAGAAUUUGGCACAUUCCAUUUCGAUCUUAUUCGUAUAUCAUUUAACAUGUUCACCCUUAAGUAGAAUUUGAUAAACCAAAAAAAGAAAACCACAAAGGGCUGUGACUUGAACGUUUAAUAAGAAAUUGUAAACCAAAAUCAAAUUCUUUAUCGGUUUUUUGAUUUUGCUUUAGUUGAUAAUUUUAUAGAGCGGUGAUAACUAGCUAACACGAAAGCCAAAUCAAAAUUAAAUCGGUAACCUAAAACUGUAGUCGCUUAUUUCAAAUUCGAAAUGAUAUGUGAUGAAAGCUAAACAAAACAAAGAUAUAAUAUUACAAAGUAAACACAAAUGACGAAUGCAAAUUAAACAAAAAAGAAAAUAAGAGAAAAGAAAGACAAUUGUACCUUGAGCAUAAAGUGUAAAAAUUGGAACUCGUAAAAAAAGUAUUGCUAGGCCGAAACAGAAGCACAGAUAACCAGAAACGUCACCUUCGAAAAUUUGAAAGGUUUCGCCCUCUCGAUGCAAAAAAAAAAAACAAUCAAAUUGGCACAUUUCUUUGCAAAUUUUGCCAAAAUACAGUUUAGCGCCUGAAAAUUUAACUCUGAAUAUCACACUCCGCGUAGCAGUCACAAACCCACAGACAGAUACUCCUACACACGCACACACAUCAUAUCAAAUCGAUUAAAACAUCGCGGAUUAUCGAAGUAGCAAUCGUAGCUUGGCACUCUUCUCGGCGAUUCUUAAGCUAUUCAGCUGAGGAGUGAUGAAAUUAACGGGACCCCAUUGGCACUGCAUUUCUGUCUGAUUUGCUCGAUUCGGUUAGAUUUCGGUUUUCGGUUUAUAGCCCAAAUAGAAUAGCCAUAAACUAAGGAUAAGCAUUGUACAUUUACUAAAUGAAAUGAAGUCUCUUAUCGAUGAUCGUUCCUUAAACUUAAUUUGUAAGGUAUACACAUAUGCAUACAUAUGUAUAUAUGUAUGUAUGUACAAAAAGAUAUAUGCAUAUGGCGAAGCAUAAGUUGCAGAUAGAUUUUGUCCAAUGCAUAAUGUAUUUUUAUUAUACAUAGUGCGAAAUGUGGCAUUCUUAUAGAAUGUUUAUUACUCUAUACAAACCAUUACUAAAACUAACUAACUUAUUUAUUUAUUAUAUAUAUAUUGUAUACACUAUAUAUAUACAUACAUAUAUUAUAUGCUAGUUAAUGACAGGUUAGACAAGGUAGUGAAUGAAGCUUACAACACUGACACAACAAGAAAAACAACAUACAAACGAGAAGAACAACCAAAAACACUGGAGUCCAAGUUUAGAACUUAAUAAUCAAAAAUAUAUUUAGAUACACUUUUCUGCAGGUAUUUAAAAGAAAGUAAAACAAAAGCCUAAAAUAACGAUAACGAUAAACUUAACGGUAACGAUAACGAUACAAAAAAAUAACGAUAACGAUAAAUUACGAUAGAGACAAGCACUUAACCCCACCAUAACCAAGGACUUACCAAAAUUGCAUACACUAGUUUUUCUAUCCAGAAACAUCUUUACUAACACAAAACGAACUUAACACACCCUUGGCAUACACUCACAUAUGCAGACGCAGUCACACGGGCCCAAAUAGGAGGGAGAAAGGCAGUAGGGAUGGUAGUGUAGUGUGGGGUUUGGCAGGGCAGGCAGGGGAAUACAUAAUAAUACCAGAGGGGUGCAUAUCUUUUUGCUAGGCCUAGAACAUUUUGCCUUUGAUAUAUAGAAGAGCAUUUUGGGUUUGUUUUUGAAUCUGAACACGAGAAUACAUUUUAGGACACAGGGUAAUACAUGACAUGCGAAUAAAACUAAAUAGAAAACUCAAAUAGUCAAAUCACUUUGAAGAUUGCAAAAGGAACACUCAGAAUUGUUUGUUCUAGUUUCCUCUUAAGCUUUUGCACUUGCAUUGUUUUUUUCGAUUCGGUACUUUGAAGCUUGAGCAACGUUUUUGAGGCUUUGCUUACCAAUUAGAUUUCGCUACGAUAGGGAUAGAAUGGAUGGGAGAACGGAUACAGUUUAGAGCAAGGUCAACCGAGGGCAUAGUUUGGAUACGGAUCCGCGAAAGUAUGCAAGAUAUGGAGAGUAUAUAUAUAUAUAUAUAUAUAUACCUAGGAAUAUAACAGCAAACAGCAACAAUAAUUGGCGGCGCUUGUAAGAAAGCUCAGAAAGUGCAUUUAAAAUACAACAAAAAAAUAAUUACGAAGAUGGAUAAGAGAUUUAAACAUUUUUUAAAACAGAACCUAGUCAUAUUUAUAUAGGCGAUGAAUUAUAUAUAUAUAUAUAUAUAGAUAUAUAUAGAUAUAUAUUAUUCUAUUAUUAUGACAAUUAUUACUAUUAUGUACUAUGAAACAAACAAAGAUUUAUUAGCGAGCUAAGGUCAACCACCAAGCAUUACCAGUAUAAACCAAUUUUGCAAUUAUACAAACCAAAUCUGGUGGAAUGGGAGGCAUUUCGGUUGCAGCCAUUGGAAGUAGCAGCUUGGGACGGGCCAAAGUUAUUUUUUGUAGAUAAAACUGUUAUCCUUUAGCACUUAGCCAAAUGUUAGAUCGAGAUACGAGAUACGAGACGCAGAGUCUAAAGACUCCAACAAAGAACGAGAGCAGCUAGGGAUUUAGAAACUAAAUGGUCAAAGCGAAUUUAUAUUGUACAUAGGCAUCAACCCCCAAACGAAGCCCCAUGGAUGCGAGGGUCGAAUUAUUACAGAUAACUGAAUAAUACAAAUACAUAGUUGCUAGUCUAGAUUUUAGCAUCGACACCCACUCAGACACACCGACACCUACAUAUGUACAUCCAUACAUACAUAGAGACCCACCCUAAAAAAUCUUUUGAGUGCAUCUUAAAAUGGGUUCAAGAAUUUGUUUCCCAGCAUCAGCUUCUUUGUAUACUCUUUACUUUCCGUUUAGAAAUCCGUCCGUAUUUAGCAUUAUGCAAGCAUACAUACACACACACACACACACACUUACACACGCUGUCGCAAGAAGUUUAAUUUUGGUAUCGAAGGGGCAGUCAAUACCGGCUGCCAGUCCACUUUUAAAUGAUUUGCAAGUUACACAGAAACAAACAUAUAAAUUCCGAUUUGUAUGUACAUAUAUGAGAAUUGUCUUUCACAACACCUAAGCACAAGAAGAAACCCACACAAAUACAAUAAAUGCAAGAAUCUACAUAUUGUUUUAGAUUUUGAAGAGCACCUUUAACGAAAACAAUAAUUAGCAGAAAAAGUGAAAAAAAUUAAUCAUUAACAAAAAACAAAAUGAAGAAAGCAUAACAAAAAGAUGCAGCAAAUGCCGUGUAAGCUUAAGAAAAACUUGCACCUUAUACAUACUGGUAGAGUAAACGUAAAAUCAGAAGAGAUGAUCCUGGAGUGGAAUCUUUAUCAAUAUUGUUUGAGAAUGAUAUAAGUCAAAUCCAACAGAAUUCGUGACUAGUUCCUGUCAAACUUUCAAGAGAACAAAAGGAAAACAACAGAAUCUCUACACACAUAAUUAAAUAUUAAAUGAAAAAUGGUUUCAGAAUUAAAAAAAAAAGAAGGAAAAUAUGAAAUAAAGCAUAUACAGGAUCACUCACCAUUUGGACAUGAAAGUGUUACAUCAUGUUCCUCAGAUUUCCAUUGUCUAUGAUUUGAAUUCUCACAUCAAAUGCACUUUGUACCCAGAUCAAACAUUUUCCAAGUCACUAAAAAAAAGAAGCAAGGAGCCGGAAGUAGAGGAAAAGGCAAGCACACAUCUACUCGUAGAAAAAUGCAGACAUACGUAUAUAUUUAUAUUGCAAAAAUGUAUAUUUAUACACACACACAUAAAGUGCAGAACUAAAUGGGAAGAAGAGAAGGUACGAGCGAGUAAAGGGAAAAUAGUCAAAAUAGUUGAAGCGAAAGAGCAAACAGAGAGCAGUAAAUAACUUAUUUAAAAUAGCAACCAAAGUCUUUAUAUAACUAUAUAUAAAAAUAUAUGCUAUAUACUAAACAUAUGUGUACAUUAAAUACAAUCUAUGAAUAAUGAAACCAAAAUGGCGAAGUGUGUAAAAUUUGUGCAUUCGUUCAUGGAAACAAAAGGAUGAAAGUAAACACCGAAAAACAUUACAGAUAUAUAUCUAAAUAUAUUCAAUACGGCGCAUUCCGCGCAGCCCUGCCACGCGGUAGGCUGCUGGAAGCCCACAACACAAUUAAAUGCUAUCGAACAAGAAAACUAUUAAUUAGUUAUGGACAAAACUAUAAAUAUUUUAAUACUCAAUGCAUUAACACCAGCAAGUAUAUUUUAAACAUUAUUUAUACGCCAUACAGCAGCAGCAUACACAGUAAAUAAACCCAGCAUAUUAAUAGAUGAGUACAUACUACAGCCACAACAAUGAUCAAUUAGAGAAACCCAUACACACACACACACACACGCACACACACACACAAACAUUCAUAAAAGAUCAAUUUUUUGAGCAAUUUGUUUCCCUUAAACGAGUCCUAUUUCCAAGAACACACACACACACACACACACCAAAUCCCGGAAUAGAACUGAACAGCAGAAGCUGUUAGGCCAAGAGCACGGCUUAGAGCUAACAAUAAAGGGAAAGAAAGAAGAGAAGAGCGGCAUACAUUAUAAUAACACAGAUAUCAAGAAACUCUAGGAUUAAUCAUUGCCAGUUUCACAGAGAGGGCAAGCAGUGUACAUUUUGUUUAGUUUGCCAAAAAUGGGCGUCGCUGAUGGGCGACAUAGGAACGAGGGUGAGGUGGAGAGAUCGCAAAACAUAAGACACACAAGGAGCAGUAAAUAUAGAAAAAAAAACAUUAUAAGUGAACCGAUAAACAAAGUUAUAAUUACAAUACAUUAUUAUUAAUAAAUAAUUAUUAUACACGAAAACUUAUGCAAAAGUGUACUAGGUAUAUAAAUAAAAGAACAACUGGCAAGUUAAACAAAACCAAACAAAGAAAAGAAAUGCGAAAAGAAAAGAAAAAAAAAAGAAAAUACAUACCACAAAGGUAAAAUUACAGAAAUGCAG